rnacentral:rRNA from 1 species
UUCCGGUUGAUCCCGCCGGAGGCUACCGCUAUUGGAGUUCGAUUAAGCCAUGCGAGUCGAGAGUCUUAGGGACUCGGCGUACCGCUCAGUAACACGUGGGUAACCUGCCCUAUGCUGGGGAAUAACCUCGGGAAACUGAGAAUAAUGCCCCAUAGUCCACCAUGCCUGGAACGGUUGGUGGAUGAAAGCUCCGGCGGCAUAGGAUGGGCCUGCGGCGUAUCAGGUCGUAGGGGGUGUAACGUACCCUCUAGCCAUCGACGCGUACGGGUGUUGGGAGACAUAGCCCGGAGAUGGAUUCUGAGACACGAAUCCAGACCCUACGGGGUGCAGCAGGCGCGAAAACUUGGCAAUGCGAGAAAUCGUGACCAGGGAACUCCAAGUGGCUGGGGUAAGACCCAGUCUUUUCUCGACUCUUCAAAGGUCUUGGAAUAAGGGGUGGGUAAGGACGGUGCCAGCCGCCGCGGUAAUACCGGCGCCUCAAGUGGUAGUCGAUUUUAUUGGGCCUAAAACGUCCGUCGCCUGUUUGGUACAUUCGUGGGUAAAUCAACCAGCUCAACUGGUUGAAUUCUGCGAGCACGGCCAGACUUGGGACCGGGAGAGGUGUGGGGUACGCUCAGGGUAGGGGUAAAAUCCUGUCAUCCUGAGCGGACCACCUGUUGCGAAGGCUCCACACUAGAACGGAUCCGACGGUCAGGGACGAAGCCUAGGGGCACGAACCGGAUUAGAUACCCGGGUAGUCCUAGGUGUAAACGCUGUGGACUUGGUGUUGGGAAGGUUCCGAGCCUUCUCAGUGCCGAAGCGAAGGUGAUAAGUCCACUGCCUGGGGAGUACGGUCGCAAGGCUGAAACUUAAAGGAAUUGGCGGGGGAGCACCGCAACCUGAGGAUUGUGCGGUUUAAUUGGAUUCAACGCCGGG